AACUCCAGGCGAUUGGCGCGAAGGAGGCGAAAAGGGCGGAUUCCCUUUCCGGGUCGUGCCCGGGCUGCAGGUCCUUAUCCCGAAGCUGGGGUUACUAGGUGAACACGGCCGGAGGGAGAGCGCUCUGAAAUCCAUUCUUCAGCCGCACGUGGAAAAUGGACAGCUGUGACUCUUAAAGAGAAUUAAAGCAACAAAGCAUCUCAGCCUGCUCUAUGAGCUGGAUAUUUCGUAGGAAGGAGCCGAUUUGGCGAAAGUUACGUAAACAAUGGAAUUGUCUCAGUUUGCGCCUUUGUUUCGUUUGACAGCCCUUCAGGGAGUCAUCGUGAUUGCUGGAGACGGUGAACUAACACUGUGGGGACCCUUGUGCGAAACGUGUCAAGUGGCACAACAAGGAUAGGAACACGGGUUCUUUGGACUCCACAGCUUCUGCUCCUUCCAGAUUAAACCACACUGCUUUCUCCAA
rnacentral:antisense_RNA from 1 species